UACGUAGGUGGCAAGCGUUGUCCGGAUUUACUGGGCGUAAAGAGCGCGCAGGCGGUCGUCAAGUCGCGUGUGAAAGCCCCCGGCUCAACUGGGGAGGGUCACGCGAUACUGAUCGACUCGAAGGCAGGAGAGGGUAGUGGAAUUCCCGGUGUAGUGGUGAAAUGCAUAGAUAUGACCCGGAACACCUAUUGCGAAGGCAGCAGGCUAAACAAAUAUUGACGCUGAGGCUCGAAAGCGUGGGGAUCAAACAGG
rnacentral:rRNA from 1 species